UUCGGUCUCGGACUACUUACUGCCUGUGCGGCGAUUGUGAGAGAAUGCAAACCAAGCCCCGGUGAUGCGGCCAAGUUUUCUACGGAAGUUCGAAGAGCCGUCAAUGCUUUCCUCAGGGACUGCAUGAAACUGUUGAGUUGCAUGAGCCCGUUGCCUACUGUGGACACCAUUCGCCAGUACAUUGCAAUAUCCUGUGGGGCCUUGAACAACUGCUCUACUUUGCUACACAGUGAAGCUAUGGAGGUUAUUUGGCCUUGCUGGAAGCAAGUUGCAGGUGAAGUUGUUGUAAG
rnacentral:lncRNA from 1 species